AUGAGGGACUCUAUUUAAUAAUAUAUGCUUUACAGGUUUUAUGUAAUUACCUGUCAUCACCUUGCUGCAUUCAAGUUGUAUUCCAUGUUGAUGGGCUUGUAAAUAUUGAAGUAGAAAGACUGAAAGAUUUUCUUCAUGUGAAUGAGGAGACUGGACAUUUUUCGGCACAGACAAUCCUCCCUGUAUAGGUAGAUGAAAAAGUGGGAAGCAUGUAGCCGUUCCGGGUCAGUUUAGACAAUCCAUCCAUACCUGGAGAUUCUAAUGUUAGUCCCUUGGUCAUGACAACACCGUUUGGUUCAAGGUGCUUUGCUAUCUUAAGUGAAUCUAUCAAGUGCUAGUAGCAUACAGCACAGAGCAUGAGCAGGAAAGCCAAAGGAGCACAAUCCUACAAGACCUAUCUCCUACCUUACAUGAUCCUGACUGAAGCACAGUUCUCUCUCCUCCCUGAAAUCUCACCAUAUCUACCCAAAUCCACUGUGUACUUUUCCUGCUGGGAAAUAUGGGAAGCUAAGUUUAGGAUAAAUCCUAUUUAUUUGUGCUUCUGGCCUAGUACUUUUCUACCUGUGGCCCUACAUUAACAUUUGCUGAUGAAUCAUCAUCUUUAGCUAGUGGGAAUAUUCCUGUGAUCUCAGAGUAUCUAAGUUCCCUACCUCACCUAAAUUUAUUCAUGUAGUGACUGUGUCUGAUGUCCUAAGAUGAUUCUUUCUUGUCUAGGCAGAUGCCAGCUAUUAGACAAGAUAAUGAAAGAGUAAAACACUUGGUUGUUCCUGUAAAAAUUAUACAUCAGAUGUCGUGAUGUGACCUCCUUUGUGUGACUUUCUGAGGGAAGAAUACAUAAGCACUAGGUUUUCUCUACCACUGGGAUUUUUCAUCUAGCAAGAACAUUACAGAUAAAAUGGAGCACAGAGCCCACAUGAAGAGAUCUCCAUCCACAGGGCUAUCAUAGGUCUUUGACAUGGAAUUCCCCAAGCUUUGCCCAAAUGAGAACCAGCCCAUGCUUUGACAUUCCCCAUCUUCUGGACGAAAUUCAGUUAUAGCACAGUGCACUUCUAGAUCUACACAGUUGGCUAUUCCCUAGAUCUUUAAGUUACUUCAUUUACUUUAAAAGAUAUUGCCAGAAAUUUAUAUAAAUUAUGUACUCCAGCCCAGUGCAGAGAGCUAUAUGGUCUGUAAAUAUUUUUUUUAAAAUUAUAUGUUUUCUCUGCUGAUUCAAAGGGGGAAAAAAGUAACUAACACAAAAUGUAGGAUAUAAACAUAUCACCCCCAAAUUUACAGAACUUACUUUAAAGGAAAUGUAAUCCUAAUGGCUGUGAAAAGUACAUGAUAAUUGAGAGGCAUUCAUGUUGAACAACAUGCUAGGAGAGUGCUUUUGGAGACUGGGAAAAGAUCCCUUUAUAUUAGAACAGAAAGCUUCUUUUAUUGAAAGCUUAUGUUGUGAUAGUGUCUAUAGUUAAUUUAUUAAAACACUAAGAAUGUUUUAAAAUGUUUUCCCAAGAGGAAUUAAAUUAAUUUUGUUUAGGUUUUAUUUUUCACUUUUGUGUGAGUUACUUUGACAGUUUCAUGGACAGAAAUGUUUUGAUUAUUCAGGAAACAAGUAUAGUAGAAACCACUGAUGCACAUAGUCCCUCAAAUUGCCUGUCCAACAGGAUUUGAUACUGUCAAAUAUCCUGAAUGAUGAAUGGGUAAGGGUAUCAUUUAGUCUCCAAGUACCUGAGUCCUCCAUUUCUACUGUAGCAGUUCUUUUCUUAUAUGGGAGCUAAAUGGAGAUCAUAAAAUCAUUUAAGAUAAGCCACCAAGUAGUCAGGAAGGAAAUUAUCUUUUCUGCUGUUAUUUUGAAUUUAAAUUGCUAUGACUGAGAAAAUUAGUAUCUUGGAUUCCACUACCAACUCCUUAAGAGAGUAUUUUGCAGGGGGUAUUUUUUUUUACAAGAUGAUAUCCCAUUUUCCAAAGCAAAACAAACCAAAACAUUUGAAGUCCUCAUUGUCUUUAUAAAAACAUUCACAUUUAUUGCUUGGAAAAGUUACAAAUCCAUGUAGUAUUUCUUGAAAAACUGAAAAGCGUGCUUGACCUUGAAGAAUAGAAGUCAGCAGGAGUACAGAAGCCAGGUAGCCUUUGCUUUAUGAUUUGCAAAAUUUUCAGCGGCUUGCCAAUACCUGGCCAUAUUUCAUUACUACCAUGUCUGCCACAACUCACCUUCUCAGAAAUACUGCCCUGGUCCAUCCUCCUAACCAUAAUGAUGAAAUAACUGGCUAAUUUUACUAUUGGUGACUUAGAGUAAGCAAAACUUUUUGCCAAAUUACAAUAAGACAGCAAAACAGAAUAAUAUGCCAUCCUUCUAAGAGAUAUAUUUGGUUGUAAUUACCUGGGUAUUUGAGGUCUAAGUAAGCUCUUGGAUACCUUGUGGUUAACUGGAACAUACCAAAGAAAAGAUCAGGCAAACCUUUAAAGAUGAGAUUGCUCAAAAGCACAGAAAGAAAGUAAAAUGACUCCUCAUUCCAAUAAUAGUUGGCUAGUUAAAUCCCUUGUCUAAAUAAACAGCAUAUACUCCUGACAGUUCAAAGACAAACAAAACCAAACAAAAAACAACCAAACAAAAAAACCUGAAGUAUUUCUGUGGACUUUCUUAUUUUCUUAAAUAAUCAAAUUAAGUCAAUACACCAUCAAACAAUUAAAACACAGCACUCUACAAGACACUGUAAUAAUUUCCCCAGAGAAACACAGCAUUUUUCUGUAUAAAACACAAUGGGGCGGGGAAAAAAGAGAGAGAAAGAACGUUCAAGAAAAAAAAAACCCUCUAAAUGAAAAGUGACAGCAAGUCAACCUGCUGCCUCUGCUGAAGUGUGGUGUUUAUUUAGCUACAAAUAUGUGAACAAUUCACUAGCAGGAUGGCCACUGAAGAAGGAGGCACGGUCAGGAGAAGAAGUUUGCUGCAGGCCAUUUGUGACAUCAAUGGUACUAGGGCUUCUAGUUCAGCAAGGUUCUCUGCCCCAGGUCUUCUGGAAACACUGGCUGAUCUCUGCAGAGAAACCUAUUGAGAUAAAAGGCAGUUUCCACUUCAGUGUAUGAAGUACACCAUCAGUGUCCUGAUUAGCUCAGGCUAACUCAUUCCCUGUACCUCUAGUCAAACAGUGAAAAUUGUACUUUGCAUGUAGCUGGGCAGGUGAAUGGGAGCCUGCACUUCAACCAACACAGCCUGCUGUGACCCCUGAGCAGCCGUGCCCCUACUGGGGAGCCUGUGAAACACCUUAACUGGCCUGUUUGAGCAAUUACCUUUAAGCAUUUUAUCUGAACUAGCAACUUUUAAAGCCUAUUAGGUACACUGCUCAAAUCCUUUCUUAAACCCAAACACUCCUCAAAGGUUGUGGUUUGCUUAGUACAUUUGCAUCCUGGAACAAGCACUGGAGUGGCAACCGAAUGAGGAUGGUCCAAAUCUGGCUAGUAAUCAAUUACAUCAAAGUAAUAAAAAUAGAUAUAUCUUGAAAGCGCUCCAGAGAAUCCUUUGAUGUCUCCUUUAGUAAACACAAUAGGUCAAAUUACCUACUGCUGAAAACUGCUGUUAAGAGCUUGGUCAUUUUCAGUAACAGUGCAACCCAUACAGACAGCUUGCAGUCUGAAGGCAGCUUGAGGGGACAAAAAACAGGUAUAACAAGGAAAAGCAACCACCUCCAAAGGGAUAGGGUAAAGUAGGUCACCAUUAAACACCUUUUUGACAAGGUCUCCAACCGAUGUACCCUGGCCUCCUGAAACUGAUAAAAUUCCUGAGUUGCUCCAGAGAGGUGGUUUUGCCUGCUGAAUUCAGCCUGUGUUACCUUAUUUUAGCAACAGUGGAUAAUUGCUUAGCCCUUCACACCCCUCCUAUUUUGCCAUGUAUGUUUAUAUUAUCUAUGUUUACUGAGGCAUGUAAAGAAUUCACACAAAAGAAGGAAACAGAGGUAGUUAGUAAUUGCACGACAACAAAAAAUUUCAGUUUUCAAAUUUGGCAUCAUAAUUACACCACGCACAUGCUCAUCUGACUUUCAUGCUUCAAUAUCCAUAGAGCUGAAUCAGCACAGAAAAUGAACAUUCUUGUUGACAAAAACUGCUGGUGACUUGACAGGGAUAUAUUUUUCAUCUAGAUCAAAUGGUAGUUUUGCUGGGGAAAAAAAAGAGGGAUACUCUGUAUGCAUACUAAUAAAUAACCUGUAAUGAUUUUCAGAGAUUCUUUUGCUUAGGUCUGUGAAAAAAACAUAAAUUUUAUGUUGUCAUAUGUUUAUUCUUGUAAAAUAGCUCUUAUUUUCUGGAAGGAUUUCAAGAGAAGAGAAAAAUUUUUAUACAAAAUCCUGAAGAGCAGAAGAGUUUGUGGGGGACUUCAGUCUAUUUAUCUUGUUGUGAGUUACUGAAGUGUUCUAUGCUCUUGUGAACCCCACAUGACUGUGCAAACCAUGAAAACUUAGCAUAUCAUUAUUCAACAAAGCACUCCAGGUUUUCACUGGGAGUCGUAUGUAGACUUAAAUACUAGGUUUUCCAACUCCCUACACAAAGCUGCAACAACUUGGAUUGAUGGCAGGACUCAGCAUUUUGCUCCAUGAGACGAAAAGCACUUCUAAUUCAAAGGAAAUAUGGAUUAGCUUGGGAAUUGUUUCAGUGAAAAUGUCAGAGAAUCUGUUGAAGAAACAAUGGGAGAUGAAGAGCUGGCCAAGCUGAAAUAUCAAGAAAGUUACCUUUUAUCUGGUAUUUCUUAAAAACUAACUGCUGCCUAACACACUGACCUUGGGCUUCACUCCAGAUGUGAAAGGGGGUUGCCUACCGCUUCUUCCUAACAGAAGGAGACAUAAUGGUCACAGAUGCAACAGCCAGGGAACGAAGCAUGCACUGACAAGGCUGUAACUGUGACCUAGUCAUCUUCACGGAAGGGGAGAAGCCCCCAGCUACACAGAAAGGCCUGCUGACUUUGGAAUUUGAAACAGAUCAAGUAGAACUCAAUGGCAUCCCCAAACCUGUUUUUUUCCACUGUCCUGGAAUGGUGCUUGGCAAAUUCACCCUUUUUUUUUUUUGUUGUUGUCCUGUUAAAAAAAAAUAAAAGGGCCAAUGGAACAAUCUUAUUUUAUCAGAUUUCUCCUGCGAUCUUAUUCUUUGUGGUAUCCACUGAAUCAAAAGGGUCCUCAAUAAGAUACAUGAAGCAUCCUGUAUGGAAUGCUGCUUGAUGUCCAGGAUGCUUGGUUGCUCCACCUGUUUUGAAGGCAGGUAAUAUAGCAUGCUCCAAAUAUAAAACUGGCUGGUCUCGGGCAAGCAGAAGUG